UACAGAGGUCCCGAGCGUUGUUCGGAUUCAUUGGGCGUAAAGGGUGCGUAGGCGGCGGGGAAAGUCUGAUGUGAAAUCCUGGGGCUCAACCCUGGAACUGCAUUGGAUACUUCCUUGCUAGAGUACUGGAGAGGAAACUGGAAUUUACGGUGUAGCAGUGAAAUGCGUAGAGAUCAUGAGGAAGACCAGUGGCGAAGGCGGGUCUCUGGACAGUUCCUGACACUGAGACACGAAGGCCAGGGGAGCAAACGGG
rnacentral:rRNA from 1 species